rnacentral:lncRNA from 1 species
AUGGCCCGGGCCGGCAGCUCCAGCGGCGACGCGGCGGCGGGCGAGCGGGCCGGGGGCGCGGGGCGCUCCGAGCCGUGGGAGCUGUCCCUGGAGGAGGUGCUGAAGGCGUACGAGCAGCCCAUCAACGAGGAGCAGGCGUGGGCCGUGUGCUUCCAGUGCUGCCGCGGGCUGCGGGGCGCGCCGGGCGGCCGGCGGCGCAUCCGGGACACGGCGGACAUCCUCCUGCGCAGAGACGGCUCGGUCAGCGCGCGGCGGGAGUCCGGCGCCGCUGAGCCCACAACAAUGGUGUCACCGGCCAGCUCGGAAGCCCAGGUGGUGCAGUCGCUGGGCUUCGCUAUCUACCGCGCGCUGGACUGGGGGCUGGCUGAGCACGAGGAGCGCGAGCUCAGCCCGCAGCUGGAGCGGCUCAUCGACCUCAUGGCCAACAGCGACUGCGAUGACGACGGCGGUGGCGGGACGGCCGACGAAGGAUACGGGGGUCCCGAGGAAGAAGAGGAGGCAGAGGGCGGCCCUCGCACCGUGCGCACCUUCGCACAGGCUAUGCGCCUGUGUGCCGCGCGCCUGACCGAGCCCCGGGGCGCACAGACCCACUACCAGGCCGUGUGCCGCGCGCUCUUCGUGGAGACGCUGGAACUGCGCGCCUUCCUCGCCAGGGUCCGAGAAGCCAAGGAGAUGCUGCAGAGGCUCCGGGAGGAUGAACCGCAGGCAGAGAAGCCCCUUAUGGAGCUGGACAGCCUGAGGCGCACAGACUGGGCCCGACUCUGGGUCCAGCUCAUGCGGGAGCUUCGCCAUGGGGUGAAGCUGAAGAAGGUGCAGGAGCAGGAGUUCAACCCCCUGCCCACAGAGUUCCAGCUCACCCCCUUCGAGAUGCUCAUGCAGGACAUCCGUGCCAGGAACUACAAACUGCGCAAGGUCAUGGUUGACGGGGACAUCCCUCCCAGAGUGAAGAAAGAUGCCCAUGAACUCAUCCUGGACUUCAUCCGCUCCCGGCCUCCACUGAAGCAGGUCUCAGAGAGAAGGCUUCGCCCCUUACCUCAGAAGCAGAGAACUCUGCACGAGAAGAUCCUGGAGGAGAUCAAGCAGGAACGCAGGCUACGCCCUGUGGAGAGCAGGCGCUGGGACGGCCGGGGCGAGCGGGGGUUCGGCUCUCUGCCCUGCAUCCUCAACGCCUGCUCUGGGGACGUCAAGUCCACUUCCUGCAUCAACCUGUCCGUCACGGAUGUUGGGAGCAGCGCCCAGCGCCCGAGGCCCCGGGUCCUGCUCAAGGCCCCUACGUUGGCUGAGAUGGAAGAGAUGAACACUUCUGAGGAGGAAGAGUCACCAUGCGGAGAGGGGACGCUGAAGCGAGAUCGUUCUUUCUCUGAGCACGACCUGGCGCAGCUCCGGAGUGAGGUGGCCUCUGGUCUGCAGCCGGUCCCUCAGCCCCCCGGAGGCCUGGAGUUGUCCCGGCCGCGAGCGGGCAGCAUGCAGUCCUGGAGGCCGAGCCCCCUGGAGCCGGGUUCUCUCCCUGUCAGUGUCCAGUCCCAGCCUGACCCCAGCUCCCUACCACGCAGUGACGUGAGCUCAGUCGAGGACAGGCAGGGGGCCUCCGUGGCCCCGGACGCCAGUCACCUGUGGCUGGAGUUCAGCCACCCCGUGGAAAGCCUGGCUCUGACGGUGGAGGAGGUGAUGGACGUGCGCCGUGUGCUGGUGAAGGCAGAGAUGGAGAAGUUCCUGCAGAACAAGGAGCUCUUCAGCAGCCUGAAGAAGGGGAAGAUUUGCUGCUGCUGCCGAGCCAAGUUCCCGCUGUUGUCCUGGCCACCCUCCUGUCUCUUUUGCAAGAGAGCCGUCUGCAACUCCUGUAGCAUAAAGAUGAAGAUGCCUUCUAAGAAGUUUUCUCACAUCCCCGUCUACACACUGGGCUUUGAGAGUCCUCAGAGGAUGUCAACUGCCAAAACCACGCCAACACAGAGAAGAGACGCCUUCCAAUCGCUGCAAGGGCUGCAGUGGCGGAACGUGGAGGAGGAGUUCCCGCACAUGUACACCCACGGCUGUGUCAUGAAGGACGUUUGCAGCGACUGCACCGGCUUCGUAGCGGAUGUGGUGCACUCCAGCCGCAGGAGUGUGGAUGCCCUCAACACCACGCCGCGUCGUGCCCGCCAGACCCAGUCCCUGUAUGUCCCGAACACCUGGACACUCGACCUCAAGUGAUGACCUGUAGCCCCUGGGCUGCCUGGCAGAUGCUUCUCAAGGUGCCCCCAGAUGGCCAUGCCUACAGGGAGGAGCUGGGCUAGGCCUGGACCAGGACAAGUCUCCAUCCUGGGACAAGAACCCCCGUCCUCCCGAUGUGCAUGUACAUAUAUACAUAUGUUUAUGUAAUAUAUACACACAGCCUAUAUAUUUAUAUUCACAUCCCUUGGCC